GUGAGGAAUAUUGGUCAAUGGGCGGGAGCCUGAACCAGCCAAGUCGCGUGAAGGAAGAAGGAUCUAUGGUUCGUAAACUUCUUUUGCAGGGGAAUAAAGUGCGGGACGUGUCCUGAUUUGUAUGUACCCUGAGAAUAAGGAUCGGCUAACUCCGUGCCAGCAGCCGCGGUAAUACGGAGGAUCCGAGCGUUAUCCGGAUUUAUUGGGUUUAAAGGGUGCGUAGGUGGUUUGAUAAGUCAGCGGUGAAAGUUUGCAGCUUAACUGUAAAAAUGCCGUUGAAACUGUCGGACUUGAGUGUAAAUGAGGUAGUCGGAAUGCGUGGUGUAGCGGUGAAAUGCAUAGAUAUCACGCAGAACUCCGAUUGCGAAGGCAGCUUACUAAGCUACAACUGACACUGAAGCACGAAAGCGUGGGGAUCAAACAGGAUUAGAAACCCUGGUAGUCC
rnacentral:rRNA from 1 species